AAGCCGGCCGUCUGAGGCGUUUACUGGUGACGGAUCCCGGGCGCAGAGGCUAUGAGCCCCCGGGAGGUGCUGGGCCAGGCGGCUCGGCUGGCCUCCUCUGGUCUCCUCCUGCAGGUGUUGUUUCGAUUGAUCACCUUUGUCUUAAAUGCAUUUAUUCUUCGCUUCCUGUCAAAGGAAAUCGUUGGCAUAGUGAAUGUCAGGCUAACACUGCUUUACUCUACCACCAUCUUCCUGGCCAGAGAGGCCUUCCGCAGAGCAUGUCUGAGUGGCAGCACCCAGCGGGACUGGAGCCAGACCCUCAACCUCCUGUGGCUAACAGUCCCUUUGGGUGUGUUUUGGUCCGUGUUCCUGGGGUGGGCCUGGCUACAGUUGCUCGCAGUGCCCGAUCCUGACGUCAUCCCCCACUAUGGAACUGGAGUGGUGUUGUUUGGGUUCUCGGCAGUGGUGGAACUUCUGGGAGAGCCCUUCUGGGUCUUGGCACAAGCACAUAUGUUUGUCAAGCUUAAGGUGAUUGCUGAGAGCCUGUCAGUAAUCCUCAAGAGCAUCCUGACAGCUUUUCUCGUGGUGUGUUUGCCUCACUGGGGACUGUAUAUUUUCUCUUUGGCCCAGCUUUUCUAUACUGCAGUUCUGGUGCUCUGCUAUGUUAUUUAUUUCACAAAGUUACUGGGCUCCCCAGAAUCAGCCAAGCAACAAGUUCUUCCUGUCUCCAGAAUGACAGAUCUGUUACCCACUAUUACGAGAAGUAGAGCUUUUGUAAAUUGGGAAGAGGCUAAAUUGACUUGGAGUUUCUUCAAACAGUCUUUCUUGAAACAGAUUUUGACAGAAGGCGAGCGAUAUGUGAUGACAUUUUUGAACGUGUUAAAUUUUGGGGAUCAGGGCGUGUAUGAUAUAGUGAAUAAUCUUGGCUCCCUUGUGGCCAGAUUAAUUUUCCAGCCAAUAGAAGAGAGUUUUUAUAUAUUCUUUGCUAAGGUGCUGGAGAGAGAAAAGGAUGCUACACUUCAGAAGCAGGAGGAUGUUGCUGUGGCCGCCGCGGUUUUGGAGUCCCUGCUAAAGCUGGCCCUGCUCACUGGCCUGACCAUCUCUGUUUUCGGCUUUGCCUAUUCUCAACUGGCUUUGGACAUCUAUGGAGGGGCCAUGCUUAGCUCAGGAUCAGGUCCUGUCCUGCUGCGUGCCUAUUGCCUUUACGUCCUCCUGCUUGCCAUCAAUGGAGUGACCGAAUGUUUCACAUUUGCUGCCAUGAGCAAAGAGGAGGUUGACAGGUACAAUUUCACAAUGCUGGGCCUCUCAUCUUCGUUCCUGCUGUUAUCCUAUCUCCUGACCCAUUGGUGUGGCAGCGUGGGCUUCAUCUUGGCCAAUUGCUUCAACAUGGGCAUUCGGAUCACACAGAGCCUUUGCUUCAUCCACCGCUACUACCGGAAGAGUCCCCACAAGCCCCUGGCCGGCCUGUUCCUGUCACCAGUCCUCCUCGGGGCAUUUGCCCUCAGUGGUGGCAUUACUGCUGUUUCCGAGGUGUUCCUCUGCUGUGAGCGGGGCUGGCCAGCCAUGCUGGUGCACGUCGCUGUGGGGGCCCUCUGUUUGGGAGUGACUCUUGGGACAGCAUUCCUCACAGAGACCAAGCUGAUCUACUUUCUUAGGACUCAGUUGGGUGUGUCCAGACUCACUGACAAAACGACGUGACCUCGCAGAAGCCCUGUGGCACCUGGACCAGCUGUGGGGCAGUUUUAUGGUGGAACAUGUUUUUUAUGCAGAAGAGCCCAGUUAGGGGUCUGUAGUGGAGUGAGACCAACACACAGGGCAUUAACACAACAGUUUUAUGAACAAACCAGAUUAGCACAGCGCAUUUUUAUGUUCUUGAGCUAGAGCUGAAGAUUCCUUUCUUCCUCAUGUGGCUUGUGAAAUCCCUAAGUGGCAUCUCUCCAAUGACAAGAGGAUGUUCUUGCAGUGCUGCAGGUGAAGAGGAAACGAAAGAUCCUUCUCAGCCCAGCUUGCCCGGAGGAGCUUAGAAAGUGAGGACAUGGGUAACGGAGACUGCCGGAGGCCUUCUGACUCUUGGCCAACUCAGGUAGGCAAGCCUGGGGAAGCAAAGCCACAGCUUCCAGGGAGAGCCAGCAAAUGACCUCUUUCAGGCUCAGCCUGAGUGGCCCCCCCAGAGCAAGAGGGGAUGCUUCCAAAGCUUGUUAAAUGAUUUUCAGCAAUUUCAGAAAUUACCUCAACUGGUAGUUUAAAUUUCCCUGUAGCCUUAGAUUAAAGCAGAAAGAAAAAAGGUGACAGAAGAGAAUGUGGCUUUGUCCAAGGAGGGCCAGCUGCUGUCGGCAGCUUCUGAAGAAAAUGGAAGGGUCUGCGUUGGUCCCGCCAUGUGGGUGGGCAGCCAUGGGCACUGGCUCCCCUGACCUCAGCUUUAGGCCUGGGCCAUGGUGGCCAGGUGAGGACACUCCCGAAACUCCCCCCGCCGCCAGCCUCGAUCUCCAGUUUCCCAGUGUCCUCACCUUGAACCCACUCAUCAAAGCUGAUCUGAAACUUGUUGAGUUCUUCCUCCUCACCCUAAAAAAGACAACAAAAAACAACCAUUGCCUCUGCCAUCAGCCUCUCAGACUUAACCUCUAUAAACUUCUAUUUCGUUUGUUGUUUUUCCUUCUCUGGACUGGGAUAAAGGAUGCCAGGUUCAGACCAACCAGCUUUCCCCUUCCAGAAGCAGCUGGGAGGAAGAGAAAGGCCAGAACUUAGGGUGCCCAGAGGGCUCUGUCUUGAGUGCUACUAUUAAGGUGGGAUUUUCCUAAGAAGGGAAACGUGUUCUGCCCACAGUUGGGACUCAAGGAGAGCAGGGAGACACCAGGCACGUCUGGGUCUGGCACCGCUCCUUGGGGGAGGAGUAAGGCUGUUGGCCUUUGGGGUCUGCGUGGUGGGGGUCCGUCAGGCCUGCCUCUUGCUCCUCCUCCUCCUCCUGCUCUCUUCAAAAGCCUGUGACCUGGGUGUGCCACAGAGCCCGGUGCUCCAGGCCUCCCCACUCCCAUCAGCUUCUGUGGGCCUCUCCCCCAACUCUGCAAGCUUUCUGGUUGUCUUCGCAGCUUGGGAGAUGAUGUUUUGGCUCCAGGGACCAGCUGUUGAUACAGAUAAUCAACAGAGCCAGGGAGCCUGAAAAUCACGCUCUAAUUCCAGGCCUGCCGCUCUCUGUUCAUAAGAUCCUCUUCUCCAUCUACAAAAGGUUCUAAUCCCUACUCAACUGUUGCUCUAGGACCAUGGUGGGGGCCAAGAAAAAGUCACCAUGCAGCACUAUUUGGGGCUGAGUGGAGAGUGGGAAAGCAGGUGGGCCUGUGUGCUCCGAGGCUGGAGCCUGGGCCUGCGUUCAGACAGGGGAGCUAGACCAGAGCAGAAAUCAUCACAGAGUCUAAAAUAUCUCUGGGUAUUGUUCUUCCUGGUAGCAAACGAUCUUAUCUCUGACAGCAUUAUGUAUUUUAGGUAUUUCUUGUAUUAACUUAUAAGUUGUAAAUUAUAAAGUAUCCUGGGCAGCCAGUGCCCUGUAGACAGUUAGAAACGCCCCAUCCUGUCCAUGGCCUCUUUUUACUUUGCAUGUGGUGCACACAUCUUGCCAUGUACACACUGCCCUCUACAUUGUUCUUUUUUACUAUACAGUGUACCAGUUAAGUUGUCCCCAGUUUUCCCUACAUUGUAAACCACGUGGUAGAGAAUAUCUUGACACAGAGACCUGUUCUGCAUUUUGCCCACUGAUGGAGCCUGAGACCACUCUUGCUGUAUCAGAGUAGGGCCCUGCCUCUCGGCCUCAGCUUCACCCCAGAGGAAGCCCCGGGAUGGAAGGAAGCCUCUCCAGGUCACACUGUGUUAAUGACCAGCCAGCCUGGAGCCCAGUCCCAGGACCUGCUAGCCAGUGGGCCAUACCCCUUCUUUCACAUGAAAGAGGCUUUGCGCAAUGCCAGGCACCCAAGCCAUGCUCAGCGGUAACUGUGAGAUCAUGGCAGCCUGUCACUGGGUCAUUCAGCCGACUGUCUUUCCCGCUGCAGAAGCCGGGAAACUCCUGGAGGAGCAGUGGACUUUGGUGCCUCUGGUGAGCACAAGCCAGCAACGAGGACCCGACCCUCCAGGCUCCACUGCCUCCUUGGCUGCAGGUGGAGCGUGUCUGGCACAGGGAACUGCUUCCCAAGGUGUCAGGCAAGUCAUUGAUACCCCAGGCCUCCCCCCGGAGAAUCUAACUAAUCAGCCUGGCUGGAUGGGGAACUUGGGAACUAAAGUUACCAGUAAACAGAAAGGAAGUGAAACCACCCUCUGCUCCUGCUCCUCCCACGGGGUGACGUGAUCUCCUCAGGGAAGUGGCUUUGGGCCUUAUUUCCCUGCCCAGAGGCAUAGGAUGCAGCCGGUUAGGCUCGAGGCCUUAUUUGUGCAGCCUUCCUGGGUGCUUGGUGAGCCACCGGCCCAUAGGUGGAGUCCAUGGUCUUGACAAGGUCACUCCAAGCUCUCAGAGCUGCAUGUGGAUCCCUGCUAGGCUGUCUCCCAACUCUGCCACCCUGGACGAGUUACUCUACCUCUCCAGCCUCAGCCUGCUUUCUAUCUAAACUCUACCUAUUUUUAUUUUCAGUUUUUCUUUUGAUCAAAAAAACACAUGUACAUAGUUUUAAAAGAUAACCCUCAAAGGGCAGGUUCUGCCCCCCUCCAAGCUUCCUUCUCCUUGGCCCAUUGUUUUAGUUCUUUGCAUCAUUCCUUCUUCUGUUUCCCUUCAUAUUUCUAAGUAAUUUGCUUAUAAUGCUAUUUCUUGAUUGUUUCUGCUUUAGAAUAUUGACCUCCUCGUAUGGAAAAAUGAGCUCUGAUGGCCACCUCCCUGCACACUUACCUUCCCAUCCUCCCAGUGUUAUGAUUUGGGGUAAAUUGAUAUUCAUGUUCACAUGGUUAAAACUAUAGAAACAUUGUUCUCUGCUAAACCAAGUAGUAUCCUAUUUCCUUUCUACUACAAUCCUCAAGCUAUUAAUGGUCUCGUUAUUUCAUUUGCUUUUUUAAAAAUACUUUAUACUGUCCCCUACAAAAUUAUAAAACUCUGAGCAAACACUAUAAAGCUCUUGGCAACAUGACUAACCUCAGCAAGUAUCACGGAGUCUGUGUUUUCCCUGGAGACUUUGCUCAGGGAGCCCCUCACCCCCCCCCCACUCUCACGGUCCCAUCUGUGGGCCCCUCCCUUCCCCAGAGGGAAAAGGCUCAGAGAAGUUAAGGAACUUUGCCCAACAUCACAGCAGUAGUAAAUGGGGGCAGAGAUGUGGACCUAGCCCAGGAGAUAGAGUUACGGUCAAGAGCCACCACCCCCUCAUCGGAGGAUGCUGCAGCCCUGUGGGGUGGCGACCAUGUAAACAGGACCACGUGGUGGGUUUAACCUGCAGCAAGAUUGCACGUGUGGGAAUUCCCUGGCAGUCCAGUGGUUAGGACGCUCAUGGCACUUUCACUUCCAUUGGCCCUGGUUCAAUCCCUGGUCGGGGAACUAAGAUCACACAACCUGAGCAGUGCAGCAAAAAAAAGGAAAAAAAGGAUUGAACGUGGGGCAGAGGCCUCAGCCCUGACUGCAGAGGGCAGAGGCAGGUCUCCCUGCUCAUCUUGAGUGACCCUUCCUGAUAAGUUCCCCCGCAUCCACGUCCAUCCCUGUCCCAGGCAGAUUUGAGAACAGGCUGAGCCACAAGUCUGCCUGACAGCCAGGUCCACACGUUUCUCUGACUGCCCAUGGCUACCUCCCAUUGAACAGGCUGAGCCAGCCCUCACGCAACUGCCAGGCUGACACGUGCCUUCCAGUGCCACUGGCAACCCCCUUAUUACAGGCCACCCCAGGUCUCCUUCACUAGGGGACUGAGCUCUGACCCCAGCCACCAUGCUCUGCACUGGAGGCGGCUCCUUUCCUUUGCUGGUCACAGUCAGCUAAGGUGAGCUCCUGGGAAAGCGUGGUUCCGAGGGCCCCAGGGGGCCUGGUCAUCCAGUUGUUCACACACAGGCAAUUCCCAGCCAAGGCCACCGAGCCCCUAAAGGCAGCGCACACCCCUGAAGGGGACAAAGAGCCUUCUGAGUCCAGAGCUCUUGCUGGAAAGCCCUGUGCCUCACACGGAAGAGGACUGUGCAUGGUCUGGGGCCUCUGAUGACCACCAUCCACCCGCCCCUGAAGCUGCACACCAGAGUGUUGUCAGACGGAGGCCAGACCGGCAGGGGAUGCUGCCACUGGGCCAGGACUGCCCCUGGGACACAGGAGCUGGUACAGGACAUGUCUCGCUGGCCUCAGCCAUCAGGAAGCAAGGAGUGGGCAUCAGAGAUACUUGGGAAAUGGAAGAUGCAUAGAUGUCUCCAAGCAGCCACAUGCCUUCUAAACAGACAACUCACCACGAUUUAAUUGGCAGCUCAAAUUCAGUCUGCUAAGUAGGGAAGAAGAAAGUGUGUGGUUGUCAUGGCAACACCAAAUUGCCCAGGACUGUUGGUCUCCCAGGUAGGAAAGGGAGGGGAGCAGAGCCCAGCCUCUGUUUCCCUGAUGGGGAUGUUCUGGGGAACAGGGGCCAGGCUGGACACACCUGCUUUCUUCCCACCACCCCAGCUUGCGGCUGAGGGCCUGAGCCGUGUGGUGUGGUGUAAAGGGGGCUGGCUGGCUCAGGGCCCUCACCCUGGGGUCUGGGGCCCAGGUUGUUCAGCCAUGCGUGUUCCAGCCCCACCUUAGAGCAACUGGGACUUGGACCCCCCUUUUCCUCUUACCCCCCAAAUCCUAUGACUUCCUAGCGGUGCUGUGCCCGUAGGCUUGGUCAUGGGCAUGUGCACAGCUGGCCUUGCUGGCCUAUCCUCUGAGUCCAGUCUGAAUGACCAAGGGAACAACAGCCUCACCCAGAGAGUGCCAACCGGAGCCACACGAAGGAGGGUGUGGGGCUGAUCCUUCCACUCACAAGCACACCGCACUGCCAGCCUGGCCUCCUUCUCUCCAUAAGGAAUGGGAAGAAGCCAUCUGAUGGUUGCCCCCUGUAAUCUAUGCCAAGCUGGGCCCAGGCCUGGGUGGGGGUGAGUGGUAGAGGAAGGGGCUGCUCAAGUGGGGGAGUUAAGCACUAGGAGCUUCGCCUGCCCUCAUACCCACCUGCACGGCCCUGCUGAUCAGCUUCAUGUCUAUCUCUGUGGUCCCAGGGCCCGGUCCUAGGAGGUCCAUGGACACUUAAUGCAUGAAUGAAUGAGUGAAUAAAUGAAUGAAUGAGUGGAUGACGUAUGGAGUGAGGACUGGGAGCAGAGGAACUUGAGAGGCCAAGUUGGGAUGAGGAGCUUGGGGGAAGGCCUCAAAGGAGGUGUUUGUCAGGCUCCCCAUCCUCCAGUCUGCCCCAGCCCUGGGGCAGCUCCCAUCUUCCAGAGGGACCACUGAGGUCCCUGGCAGAUGUGACCCUGUCACUUGAUCCCCCUUCAGAGAAGCAGGGACCCCAGGGCCCUUCCCCCAAGGCCCUUCUCACCUGGUGCCUGAUGGGGACUGCCUCCCUGGGACCCCACAGACCUGACUGCUUUUGCUACAUGGUCUGUGGGUUCUCCUGCUGUCUAAUUAGUGCUAAUUGGGAGCAGGAAGUGUGUGCAUGAGUGGGGAUUCGUGGGGGUGUGUGUGCCUGGAGCUCGUAUGUCCUUGUCAGAACAUAGAGGCUUCUUGGGAUGGGCCCUUGCCCAGAGCCACGGGGUCUCUGUGGGGCCUGGGUGGGACUGACUGGGCAUCGUGUGCGCUGAGUGCUUCUCUGCAGAGGCCUGUGCUGUCACUGGCCACCUCCUACCCUAGGUGCCAGCUGCCCCAGGGCCAGGCAGGCCCACUUUGUUCAUGUGAAUCUUCAGCGCCUGGCACAGAGCCACAACUCUUUGCAUUUCAGACUCCAGGAAUGAAGGGAAGAGGCCUCCAGGGCUGGCAGGAGAGACAUGGAGGGCCUGGGGGAAUGACCCGGUCCCAGGCUCAGCUCAUGGUUCAGUAAAGGCAAGGAAAGACUUGUUUAUCUGAUGGGUUCACACUUGUGCCUCCCUUGAGGGAGAGAGGAUGCAGAGGCCCUCCCUAGAGAGGCGUGACUUCCCCUUAGUUUUCCCUCCUUCCCCAGGUCCCCGCCUCCUUUCACUUGGGGCACAGACGGGGGUGUCCAGAAGCAAAGCAGCUUUUGUGUCAAGCCCUAGGCUAAGUUCUCAACUCCUGUGGUGCUCCCCCCAUCCAUAGGCACUGGUCAUAGCCUGAUGAUAGGCUGCAAUGGGGGAAGCAGGGGUGCGGGCGUGUGGGGAACCUGGGCAGAAGCAUGUGCCCCAUUCCAGAGCUAAGGCUCUCCCUGCUUCCUGUAUUGCUUGUGUUGACCAUGGUCCGUGAGUACCCUCAUCCUGGGCACAGUCAGGCCUCCCUCUUAGUGGACACAGACCCUGUGACCCUAGGACCACCAAGAGCCCGGAAGCAGGGCCCUCAGGGCUCAAAGGUGCUCAGAGAUUAAGACAGCUGAGCCGGCUGCUAGGACCAGCCUCAGUUUUAGCCACUGUAAAACAGACUUGUUAUUGUGAAGCCGGCACUGGAAAAGGUAGAGUGGGCAGUGGGUUCCUCUGAGGCUUGGGAUCCAAAAGGAGAGGUCUGACCGCCGGUGGCCACUAGAGGGCAGGACCCUCCCGUGUGUUUCUUCCAAAGGGCUGGCGAGCAGGGUGGUGGGAGACAAUGGCAAGGCAGGCCCUGGACACAGUUGCCAAAUGCUGAAUGGCUGCUAGUCAGGUCCAGCAGAGGCUGGGGCACUGACCAGAAGUCCACCUGGGCCCUACACCCCACAAACCCUCGUUGAGCCUUUAGGCUUUCCCCUCCUGAGCCUGCUCAGCACCUCGCCUCCCUUCUUAGAAUAUCAGCGGCAGAGGAGCAAUUAGCACUGGCUCUUCAGCCUCCUCUGGGGACACUGAGGCAGGCAGGAACUCAGCUGGCCACACCCCAUGCGUUGGCUUGGAGUAGACCAAGGGCUGACCGUGACCCAGGCACUCACAAAGACUCCGUGGGGUCAGAGUUGUUGGGAUCAUGCUGCUUUGGCAGUUGAGGAAACUGAGGCCCAGAGGGGCUUUUGUCUGCCCGAGGUACACCAGCAAUGGUGGUACAGGGAUUCCAGCCCGGGCAGAGGGACGGCAGAGCCUGUGUUUGAGCUACCACGCAGCGUUGCCAUCACACAUGCAGAGACACCCUCCCAUGACCCUCCCAGACAUGAAUGCGUGUGUGCCCACAGGGCCCUGGUAGCUAGCUGCAGCAAGCACAGGGUGUCUCUGCACCCUGCCUCUCCCAGCCAGAGGCUUCUGCCUCAUCCGGGCCUGGCCGGUAGUGAGGCCCAGGAGUACUGCCUCCCGGGUACAGGCUCCUUGAGGAUGCCCACCCCACCCCUGGGCAGGAGGAGCUGUGUGAGAAGCUGUCCAUGCUGUGACCACGCCUCCUUCAUGGCCCCUUGGCGCUAGUGGGGAAGUGGGUGCCAAUUAAGGGAGCAGAUGGUGGCCCUGUCCACCUCAUGAGGCUGUGCUUACAGCCACAGGAGUCAAGGACCUGCGUUUAAGCCCUUGUUUGGCCUUGUUCCUCCAACCAGGCUUGGAGCUCUUUGCCCAGGGCGGGGAGUGGGGAGUUCCUGACCCAGGCUGCCCUACUUCUGCCCUUUCCCAGAGAGGGCGAAGGCCAUGGAGCUACUGGGCAUCAUAUUUCCGGUGAGGGCCUGAGCAGUUAGAGGCUGAGUCCAGCUGUCCCAAUACUGCCUUGGAGCAGUAGAGAAUGAGGGUGUCUUUGGGGCCUGUUUCUGGAGCUCUGGUCUGAACUGAGCUAUAGCUCAUACAGCUGAUUUGCAUGGAGAUCCCCCAGUGGGCUGCUGGGCUGAAGUAGUGGGCCCUGUUAAGGGCUGGGGUCUGGUUGGGGAGGUAGCCCUGUUGCCAGAUCUUUCUCUAUGGCCCAGUUGGCCUCCUGGUGUGUUGAGACCUGUGAGCAUCAGGCACGCCUGGGAGGGCAGCUCCACAGGCCAGCCUGAACAGGGUACUUGGGGGAGCCCUGUCUUCCAGCCAAGUAUCUGGGGAACAAACCCCACAGACUUCAGAGUGCACCUCCAAUAGUGCUAGGGUCCUCUCAACAGCUCCAGUGACCAUAGGAUUCAGUGCACCCAUUUUACAGAUGGGGACCCCCAGACUCCGGCCACACCACCCCUUCACCAAUAGCUUCUUCACUGAUCUCCUUGACUUCAGUUCUCUCUCUUCCUUCCUUGUUCUCAAUUAAAACAAUUUUUUUAACUUUUAAAAUUAGUUUUUAUUACAUAAGAAGUACAUGAAAACAUCCUCUUUUUUUUUUUGCAGUACGCGGGCCUAUCACUGUUGUGGCCUCUCCUGUUGUGGAGCACAGGCUCCGGACGCGCAGGCUCAGGGACCAUGGCUCACGGGCCCAGCUGCUCCGCGGCAUGUGGGAUCUUCCCGGACCGGGGCACAAACCCGCGUCCCCUGCAACAGCAAGCAGACUCUCAACCACUGCGCCACAAGGGAAGCCCAAAAAACAUCCUCAUUUUUAAAAUAUAAUACAGUAAGAUUAAAUUGAAAGGCUCCCUUGGCCUUGUUCUUCACAAGCUCAGGGUUCACAAGGGUUAGGAGUUUGAUAUUUCUCUAUAAAAUGAGAAUAAUUAUACUUGUGCUACCCAAGCAACAGAUUUAUUGUAUAUAAAAAAAAAGAAAGUGCUUUAGGAGAAUGUGUGUUUAACACAUAUAGAUGAUUUAUCCAAUGUCCUGUGAAUGUGAAAUGCUUGUGUCCCAGUGGUGGUGCUCAGCUGUGCUAAUGCCCUGGCCCUGCAGGCAGCCCAUCCCAUGAUGACACUGCCACCAACGCCCUGACUUCCUAUCUCUGUCCCCUUAUUUUGGCUUCAAGACUCAAUCAUUUUCUUUUAAAAGCUCACAUCUCAAACUAUUUUCAGAGUUUAUUUUCUUUUUUCUCCCAACCCCCCACAAUAAGAUUUGGGGUGGGAUGGGGACAGGUAGGGACGUGAGGGAAGCCAAGCAGGGCAGGAAAUGUCUAGCAGAACACCCCUCCCAGACUGUAGACCCAGGUGCUCCUGCACAGCCUGUGCGUCUGGCAAAGCCUGUGCUCCUGUGGACACGCAGCACCCCCAAACCAGCCAUGUCCCCCUCCCCCUCCUCAGUCAUUGUAAUUGCAGCAGAGGACAUGCACUAUAUGGAUAUCCCAUGGGCUUAUCUGUUCCUCUGUUCCUGGAUGUCUAGGCUGUUUCCAGUGGGGUGCUAUUCCAGACUGCCACAACGGACACCCCUGUGCACAUCUCCUCUGCGGUCUUUCAGAGAUGCUGAGAACUGAACUCGCUGAGCUGAGACGCAGGUGCUAAAUCACCCUCCAGGGAUUUCCCUGGCGGUCCAGUGGUUAAGAUUCCGCACUCCCAAUGCAGGAGGCACGGGUUCGAUCCCUGGUUGGGGUACAAAGAUUCAGCAUGCCACACAGUGCAGCCUAAAAAAAAAGAAAAAAAAAAAAAUCACCCUCCAAACUCUUGAGCUCACACCCAGGAUCAGAAGACUUUGUUGCACUAACAACACUUUGUUGCACUAACACUUUGCCAAAACAUCUCCUUUCAAUGUGAAUUUCUUUCAUUACUCAUCUUAUAUGUUACUUAUUAAUUAAUUAAUUAAUUUAUAUUGUAUAUAUUUGAGAUGUAUAACUUUACAUCUUAAAGGCAGGAUCUGUCUGGUGAGGCCUCUCCUGAAGUAGAGCCCUGACCUCAGCUCCUUCUCCAAGGCCGGGAGACUUGGAGAUUGAGGUCAGCGGCCUGCUGGGCCCUCUCCUCCAGGCUGGAUCUGAACUACACCCUGGCCCCAGGUUUCUUCCUGACAUCUGACAGCAGGGCUGGCUGGAGGUGUAGCUGACAUGGUCCCUGCUCAGGCUCAAUCUAACUAGGGGGAAACUGCCCCAAAGCAACUCACUUGGAAAAGAUUGACCUUUCCUGGACUUCUCACUCUGAAUUAACAAAUCCCAAUCUGUCUCGGCCUUCACUUUCUGCUUCUAGAAAAUGGGGCGAAGGAGGACCCAGAAUAGGAGAUUAAGAAGCAACAGACAGGCAGGUGCUUUGGGCAGUGGGAAGAUAGGGUUCGGGUCCUGGGAGCUCAGUGUGGAUUCUAGCAUCCACCAGGCCAGGUGCUGGGAGAGGUUGAAGUGUCAAGUUUGGGGCUCUCCUGGGCCUGUCUCAGAUGUUUUUCCCAGCCCUCCCUGAGCUCACCGUGCCUUUUCUAUGCCCACUCCCCCCCCCCGCCCCCGCAUCCCACCAAACAGCAUUGAGGAUCUGCUGGCCAGUAGCCACCAAGAGCUCCAGGGAAAUAGAGAGCAAGCCCAUUUGAUGAUGGAAAUGGGCUUUCAAAAAAGCCCAUUCUUGGGAUGCCGUGGGCUUGCUUCCCUCUGACCAAAGGAGACCCCACCUUGGAGAGGGUAAGGAGAGGGUAGGGAGAGAGGAAGUGCAGGGGGCAGGGGCCGGACUGGGCUUUCUGCCUGGCUGCAGUGCUUUGGGGUUAUGUUGAGUGUCUGGGUGGAUGAUCACAGGCAGGUGACUUUUCUCUGAGCUCCUGUGUCAUCAUCUUUAAAGUAGGCAGAAUACUACCUGCCACACAGUGUUGUGGUGAGAAUUGAAUGAAUCCACACAUGGACAGACCAUCUAGCCAAGGGCUGCACACAUGUGAAGUGGACCACAAGCAAUCGCUGAUCAGACAUUGCCCAGUGUUUAGUGGACACCCAAUAAAUGGUGACUGUUAUCACGGCGGCAAUAGUUUAUGUGCCCAUGGCCGUAGGCACCUGUGGACGUCUAUAAAUCCACUCCUGUUGCCGGGGAUCCUCCCGGGAUGUGUGUGAAUGAGUGUGUGUGUGGUAUGUGUUUCCACAUGUGGACAACCAUGUCUUGCCACAGGUGUGGGUGUGGACCUCCUGGGGUCAUUUCUUCUGCAGAACCAGUGCUCAGAAGGUAACAAGUAGGGGGCAGUCUGAGGAAGGGCUGGUGCUUGGAUGGAAAAAGGAGUGGACAGGCUGAGCGUGGGCAGAAGACAGGGCAGGAAAAAACAAAGAUGAGAUUAGUCUAUAUUGGGUGCAGUGGCUAAGGUCUGUUAAGGUCAAUCCCUACCCCUUAGGAGAGGCUUGGGCUGGGCCCCUUCUUCCCAGCAAGGUUGGCUAUAGCUAACCUUAUGCCUUGCCCCAGCCAGGCAGUCCUGGGGCCUCAGAAAAGCCCAGAGUCUAGUGGUGACAGGUGGCCCAGCUGACUUGAGGGCAUGAUGUGGCCUGUCCGAUUGUGAUCUUCCUCCAAGCCCUCCAUGCUGUAAACUGCCACUUACAUGUGUAUGAUCUCAUUCACCAGCCAGUGCACUCGACAUUCGGUUGAGACAAGAACCAGGAAGAUCAAUUCCCAGCCAGGCUCCUGAAGGAUGGGUUGGAUGAAGGGAGCGCUAGUGCGCACACACAGGGCCUCUGCCUGCUUCUCUGCAGCACCCCUCCCCCAGAGGCUCCUCAUUUCGGAGUGCAUCCUGGAGGCUUAUUUUUCCUGUCGAGGAAUAAGUUACAGUCAGUAAAAAGCACUAAUCAGGACUGUACAACCCGAUGACUCUCAUGCAGAUGGACACCCAUGUAACCAUGACCAGAGCAAGGUUCAUCACCUCAGAAAAUUUCCUGUGUGCCAUCCCAGUCUCUAGCACCCACUCAAGAAGUAAUUGCUACUCUGACCUCCAUCAUCAGAAAUUAGUUUUGCUGUCCUAGAACAUCAAGUAAAUGUAGUCAUACAGCAUGUUCUUUUUUACGUCCAGUUUCUUUUGGUCAGAAUGAUUUAUUUUAGAUUUGCCCAUGUUGCUGUGUCUAACAUUUGUUCAUUCAUUUUUAUCACUGAGUAGUAUUCCAUUGUAUAAAUAUACCACAAUUUACCUAUUCUUCUGUUGACGGGCCUCUGGGUUGUUUCCAGUUUUCAGCUAUUAUGAAUAAAGCUGCUCUGAAUAUCUUGUGCAAGUCUCUGUGUGUGGGUGUGUUUUUACUUCUCUUGGGUAAAUUUAACUGAAGAGUGGAGAAACUGGAUCACAGGGUAAGUGUGUGUUUAAUUUUAUAGGAAACUGACAAUAGCAAUGAAUGUGAAUUCCAAUUGUUCUUCAUCCUUGGAAGUCCCUCUUUUCCAGACCCUUGGUUGCCUCAAAGAGCCCACCCCAUUUCUCAUCUAGAAGUGAGCCUGGCUGCUAGAGGGGGCAGGCAUCCUCCAGGAACCCAGAGUCCUGCUACAAUGGAGGAUCUGGCUGAUGUGGGAGACUA